ACAACAACAAUAACAAGACGUACCACCCACAAUAAGAACGACGACACGACUCCAGCCUAACAAGAACAACGACGCGGAGACGGAGCCAACCGAUUUUUUUGGAGUAGGCGCAUGCCCGCCGGGCGAAGCCCGCAGCCAGACCGAGAACAACAAAACUGCCACGAAGCAGCACCCGAACUGGUAGGUCCGCAGGACCCUAGGCAAUAUCUGCAACCAAAGAAAUCCGUUUGCUAUUGGCUCCCCAUUGGGGGCCAUCCCGGAGCCAAGGAGCCAACCGGGACGGGCGCACAACAAGAACAACAAGCCCGGAGCAGAACAAGAACAACGCACGCACCUCGAUUUGAAAGGGAGCUUCGGCUCCCUUUCUGCGUUCGAGGGUCAUUCCGGUUUCAUCCAUCCUCCGGU
rnacentral:sRNA from 1 species